rnacentral:lncRNA from 1 species
UGUCAGGGAGGUACCAGCUCCCAGAUAUGCCUGAAAUGUCCUGAUGACUUUACUUCAGAUGCCCCACUCCUACCACACCCACGCCCUGCUAGUCUCUCCAACCUGGACUGAAUUGUGUUAGGUUUUGGCAGGAAGGAGUAUCACCUGUUUUUGGUUUUCUUUUAUUUGACUUUUUUUUUUUUUAUACAGAGUCUCUCUACAUAGCCCUGUCUGUCCUGGAACUUACUAUAUAAGUCUGUCAAACAGGCCUUGAAUUUACAGAGAUCUAUUUGUUUCUGCUCCCAAAUGCUGGGAUUAAAGGCACAUGACACCACACCCAUAGUAUUGCCUUUUCUUUACCAGAACAUCACUAAUUCCGGUCCUUCUCAUCAAAGUCUCUAGCACACAGUGUAAUAUCCAAAAUGAAUUCAAGACCACCCAGUACCUUCCCCCUUCGAAAAGGACUUUCCAAACUGUACUAGCAGGCCAAGUACAAAGCCAGAUAAGGAAGCUGGCUGACUAAACAAAUGUAAAAACAUAGUUUUAGCAGUCAAAAUGAUUAAGCCUGCGGCUGCCAAAAUAAUAUUAGCUGUUCUCUGAGAAAUAACCAUAACAAAAAUAACAGUUCUCAGAAGAAUUCUCCUACCCCCGCCCCACACUGAAUUCUGAGAAAAACCACAAACCGCCCUGACCUUGUCGAUAGCUAUGACGUUAAUAGCUGACCCAUAAGUUCAAAAUGCACUAUUACUUUGCUGACCAAAUCAUAAUAACCCACCAUGGGGGCAAACAAAGUGAGUCACUAGGCCAAAGGUAGUUACUAUGCAAACCAACUAAUGCCUGAAAAAGUUACUUGCUACACCAAUUAGAAUAAGCCAGCUACCCUGUUGCCCAAAUCUGCCCCUUACAAGGUUUAAAAAGUGUGUUUUUUCUUUGUUCUGGGUCUCUCCUCUGGCCUGCGUGCUGAGAGGAGGGUCCCUAACAUGUUAGAUCAAUAAAAAUCCUCAUGCAGUUU